rnacentral:rRNA from 1 species
UACGGGGGGGGCAAGCGUUGUUCGGAAUUACUGGGCGUAAAGGGUUUGUAGGUGGCCCGCCAAGUCACACGUGAAAUCCCUCAGCUUAACUGGGGAACUGCGUGUGAGACUGGCAGGCUCGAGGGCAGGAGAGGAACGCGGAAUUCCAGGUGUAGCGGUGAAAUGCGUAGAUAUCUGGAGGAACACCGGUGGCGAAGGCGGCGUUCUGGACUGUCUCUGACACUGAAGAACGAAAGCCAGGGGAGCAAACGGG